CCUGACGCAGCGACGCCGCGUGACCGAUGAAGCUUCUAGGAGCGUAAAGGUCUGUCGUAAGGGAAGAAAAGUUUGGAUGUAAAUAAUGUUCAAACCUGACGGUACCUUACAAGAAAGCACCGGCUAACUUCGUGCCAGCAGCCGCGGUAAUACGAGGGGUGCAAGCGUUGUCCGGAAUCACUGGGCGUAAAGGGUCCGUAGGCGUCUCAAAAAGUCAUUUGUUAAAUACACCGGCUUAACCGGUGAAGUGCAUUUGAAACUAUUGAGAUAGAGUAUAGGAGAGGAAAGCGGAAUUCCUGGUGUAGCGGUGACAUGCGUAGAUAUCAGGAGGAACACCAAUGGCGAAGGCAGCUUUCUGGCCUAUUACUGACGCUGAGGGACGAAAGCGUGGGGAGCGAACAGGAUUAGAUACCCUGGUAGUCCACGCCGUAAACGAUGAGUACUUGGUGUCGGGGGAUUCGACCCCCUCGGUACCGGAGCUAACGCAUUAAGUACUCCGCCUGGGAACUACGACCGCAAGGUUG
rnacentral:rRNA from 1 species